rnacentral:rRNA from 1 species
AAUUCGAUCGGGAGAUCGCCUGCAUCGGUAGGAGACUUCAGGAAGUCGUGGAAAUCCGAGAAAUCGUAAAAACGUGAUUGGUGCGGACAACCAGCAGGGAAGAACUACGAAAGGAGAAAAGCGGCGAUGAAAUAUCAAGUCAUCGUGAAGCGGAUCACUCCAACCGAAGUGAGGGUCAUCGAGCACGAGCUUGAAGAAACAUACUCGGAUUCAGACGCUGCCGCAAAAGCGGCCGAAUUCCUAAAAGAAUUCGUCUUCCUGAAAGGAUUCGUCCCGCAGCGUCAUCCUUUGUAGAAGUAGUUCCCCUCAGAGACUGCACGCCGAGGCAGUGCCAGCUCAAAGCAACCAGCUCAUAGCUACCAGCUUGGGCGGGCGUGGUAAAAACCACACUCGCCCGAGCGCUUUUAUACCGGUAGCUGGAAGCCGGAAGCUGAUAGCUGCGCUAGCAUGAUACAGUCCGAACUGCAUGGCGACAUGCAGAAACGAGCAGAAAUGCCUCGUUCCGCAAUUGAAAAUUGGAAAUUGAAAAUUCCAAUUUUGUUGCGAGCAACAAAAUUGUAGAUACCCCAGUAAUCCACGCCCUAAACGAUGCGCACUCGCCGUGGGAAGUAUCGACCCUUUCCGUGGCUUAGCUAACGCGUUAAGUGCGCCGCCUGGGAAGUACGGCCGCAAGGCUAAAACUCAAAGGAAUAGACGGGAGCUCGCACAAGCGGUGGUCCAUGUGGUUCAAUUCGACGACAACCGAAGAACCUCACCAGGGCUAGAAAUCUCGUUGACGAUUCUGGGAAACCGGAAUCUUCUACAAGGACAGCGGGACAGGUGCUGCACGGUCCUCGUCAGUUCGUGGUGUGAAUUGUUCCCUUAAGUGGGGUAACGAACGCAACCCCUGCCGCCUGUUACAAGUGUCAGGCGGGACUGCCUCCGUUCAGGAGGAGGAAGGAGGGGACGACGCGAGAUCAGCGUGGCCCUCUGAUGCCCUGGGCUACACACGUGGAACAAUGCCGCCGACAAUGGGUUGCCAAGCCGCAAGGCGGAGCCAAUCCCAUCAAACGGCGGCCCAGUUCAGAUUGGGGUCUGCAACUCGACCCCAUGAAGGAGGAAUCGCUAGUAAUCGCGGAUCAGCUAUGCCGCGGUGAAUACGUUCUCGAGCUUUGUACUCGGGUGCUUUGCAGCCGAGUAUGCCAGCCGGUUAAAAUCCGGCCGCGACUUUGCAGAAGUCGCGAAAUGAAAUCGCAGUUCGCGAUCCGCGAGGAUCCGAAUGAAGGGCGAAAGUAUAUGUCUCAUAG